AGAAGAAGAAGAAGAAGAAGAAGAAGAAGAAGAAGAAGAAAAAGAAAGAUGAUAAGGAUUCCAGCUCUUCAUCUUCUGAUAGUGAAGAGGACAAGAAGAAGAAAAAGAAGAAGAAGGAUAAGAAGAAGAAAGAUAAGGAUUCCAGCUCGUCCUCUUCUGACAGCGACGAUGAUAAGAAGAAGAAGAAGAAAAAGAAGAAGAAGAAGGAGGAUAAGGAUUCCAGUUCUUCCUCCUCCUCUGAUUGCGACGAUGACAAGAAGAAGAAGAAAAAGAAGAAGAAG